rnacentral:lncRNA from 1 species
GUCCAAAUUUCACAUACAUACAUUUAUUUAUUUGUUUGCUUGGUUAAUCAGUGUUUUUAAUAUUUAUCAGUUUAUAAAUCAGUUUCAACUAACGUUACAUUUGGCACAAAUACGUAUAUCCUGACAACCUUCACCUACUUUGCAUGCCAUGCAAUUCACACUUGCACCGUAUGAUGGCAGCAAAACAAAGGCAGAAAUACCCUCAACUCCCAGGCAACCCUCCCCAUGUAAAUUGUCACUUUCGCUAUCAGAAUCACCUGUGCACGUGUAAGUGCAGAUCUGGAUGUUUAACUUUGAGAAUGACGCGCUGUUCAGUGCGUGAGGCUGCUGCAGGAGGAGCAGGAGACUGAUGUCACUCUGUGUGUUGGUUCUGCUGUUCGGUUGAAGGCCCACAGGGCGGUGCUGCUGGCCCGAGCUCCUCACCUCCUGCAGGGAACCGAAGCAUCUACACCUGUCAUUCACCUGCAGGGGAUUGAACCUGCAGCCCUCAAGGACUUUAUACAGUACAUAAUGCAUUUUCUAUAUUCCUCUACACCAACUCGAUUAUUAUUAUUAGUAAUUGCAUUGAAAUUAAAGGUGUUUUUCAUCCUUUAAAAAUGUAAAAUAGCACUAUGGAUCUGCCUUGUACAAUUCUGUAAUGGACUUGAGCUAUAUAUGUUUAGUAAAAUAUUACAUUGUGCGUUCUGUAACAGAAAAGUGUACACAGAAGACAAGUGCCUGGUGAAGGAGAAUAGCAUCUUAAAUAUACACAACGGCCACUCGCUUGUAGUGAACGACACUGCUGCAGACGACCAUGAUGUUGACUCUAAGGUCAGCUCUGACUCAGGUUCAGAGCAUUUAGAGCCAGCAUCAGGGCUUGGGGCAGAUCUUUUGGCUCUGUAUCAGAGGGCUGAUAUGUCUGACAUCAGCAUCCAGGUGGCAGAUAGAGUCUUUUCAGCACACAGGUAAAAUAAUCACAGUCAGCUUUCUGCAGCUCUUGCAUAUAUUUAGUCAGUUGCUUGUAUCUGCUUGUAAAGCUGGUAUUCAUUUUCAUUUAAACUUGUAAAAAAAAGAAGUUCUAGAAUUAUGGAAUAUGCAAUAGGAUCUAUUAACUGUAACCAUAGUGAUAGUAAGUGAAGUAAUAUCAGCAAUGGCAACGCAAAUGAUACUGUAAAGUCUUAUCACAUUUGAAUUGACAAAAAGUCAAGGCGCAAGUUGAUGUGUCACAUUAACUGACAACAGAGUGAGAGCGGAGUAUUUGAGCUGCGCACAGAGCUUGGAAGACAGUGACUGGAUCAAAACUCUUCAGACGACACACAGAUUAUAUCCACACCUUUGUAAGUUACUCUACACAUAUUUAUCAGUAAAUGUAAAUUCGAUAUAGGUUGAUGCAGAUAGAAAAAAAAACUCCAAUAUCAGUCGAUGCCUGGUCAUGUGCAUGCUUAAUUUUCAAUCAGUGCUAGAUGGUACGACUUCAGUGAAGUCAGUUAUAUGUUGCUAAAUCAUAAAUGCCCAGAAGGUGGCAGGAUUACAGUUUACUUCUUCAUGAAGCAGUAAAGGCGAAACUAAUCAGAAGAAAACUGUUUUACUACGCGAAUCUAAUCUAGCAUUGAAAACCAUUUACAAAACAUCAUAUUUUGAUUAAUGCACACUAAUCUGUAGUGAUUCAUCUCUAAUGAUAUGCGUGUGCAACACAGGUCAUGUUCUGAAGAUGAAUUACAGCACUGUUUUAUCUGUGUAGUUUUCUGUCAUUGAGAAUUUCGUUAGCACCUUUGUUUGGUGCUGCAGAGGUUAGAGCAGUUGCCAUGACCUGUUACUAUAGUAACAGACUCUCCCUUAUCAUCAGCCGGGAGCAGCAUCUCUGCAGGUUUGGGUUGUAUGGAUAGAGAAAGACAUCUGCAGUCCUUAUCAGUAUGUCAGACCUGAGGUGACUGCUGCAGAUCUGUCAGUCUCACUGCAGGAUACACACACCUAAACAGCACUGAUAAUCCCGGUCUCAUCUCCCGUUCACUUUCAUCAACCCUCCCUCAUCUGUCCAUACAUUUCCCAUGAGGAUGAUCUUUCAUAACACACAUACACUCACUGGCCACUUUAUUAGGUACACCUUGCUCGUACUGGGUUGGACCCACUUUUGCCUUCAGAACUGCCUUAAUUCUUCGUGGCACAGAUUCAACAAGGUGUUGGAAACAUUCCUCAGAGAUUUUGUUCCAUAUUGACAUGAUAGCAUCAUGCAGUUGCUGCAGAUUUGUCGGCUGCACAUCCACAAUGCGAAGCUCCCGUUCCACCACAUCCCAAAGCUACUCUAUUGGGUUGAGAUCUGGUGACUGUGGAGGACAUUUAAGUUAAGUGAGCUCAUUGUCAUGUUCAAGAAACCAGUCUGAGAUGAUUUGAGCUUUAUGACAUGGUGCAUUAUCCUGCUGGAAGUAUGCCAAGAAAAUAUCCCACACACCAUUACACUACCACCAGCCUGAACCAUUGAGACAAGACAGGAUGGAUCCAUGCUUUCAUGUUCUUUACACGUGGGGAAGUCGUGGCCUAAUGAUUAGAGAGUUUGACUCCUAACCCUAAGGUUGUGGGUUCGAGUCUCGGGCCGGCAAUACCAUGACUGAGGUGCCCUUGAGCAAGGCAACGAACCCCCAACUGCUCCCGGGCGCCGCAGCAUUAAUGGCUGCCCACUGCUCUGGGUGUGUGUUCACGGUGUGUGUGUGUUUUCACUGCUGUGUGUGUGCACUUUGGAUGGGUUAAAUGCAGAGCACGAAUUCUGAGUAUGGGUCACCAUACUUGGCUGUAUGUCACGUCACGUCACAAAAUUCUGACCCUACCAUCUGAAUGUCGCAGCAGAAAUCAAGACUCAUCAGACCAGGCAACGUUUUUCUCCCGGGCGCCGCAGCAUUAAUGGCUGCCCACUGCUCUGGGUGUGUGUUCACGGUGUGUGUGUGUUUUCACUGCUGUGUGUGUGCACUUUGGAUGGGUUAAAUGCAGAGCACGAAUUCUGAGUAUGGGUCACCAUACUUGGCUGUAUGUCACGUCACGUCACAAAAUUCUGACCCUACCAUCUGAAUGUCGCAGCAGAAAUCAAGACUCAUCAGACCAGGCAACGUUUUUCCAAUCUUCUAUUGUCCAAUUUUGGUGAGCCUGUGCGAAUUGUAGCCUCUGUUUCCUGUUCGUAGCUGACAGGAGUGGCACCCGGUGUGGUCUUCUGCUGCUGUAACCCAUCUGCUUCAGGGUUCAACGUGUUGUGCGUUCAGAGAUGGUAUUCUGCAUACCUUGGUUGUAACGAGUGGUUAUUUGAGUUACUGUUGCCUUUCUAUCAUCUCUAAUCAGUCUGCCCAUUCUCCUCUGACCUCUGACAUUUUCAUCCACACAACUGCCGCUCACUGAAUAUUUUCUCUUUUUCUAACCAUUCUCUGUAAACCCUAGAGAUGGUUGUGUGUGAAAAUCCCAGUAGAUCAGCAGUUUUUGAAAUACUCAGACCAGCCCGUCUGGCACCAACAACCAUUCUAUGAUCAAAGUCACUUAAAUCCCCUUUCUUCCCCAUUCUGAUGCUCGGUUUGAACUUCAGCAAGUCGUCUUCUUCUUCUUCUUUUCAUUUUUUGGCAGAUUGCAACCAUGACUUUUAAAGGUGCAUACCGCCACCUACUGUAUCAGAGUAUGUAACAUGAGCUAUAUCCAUUGGUACUACUUUAUAUACAAAAAAAAAAAAAAAAAAAAAACAACCAAAUUAUUCUAUAUCCUAUUGUAUAUAGAAAGUUAGUCGCAAAACAACAACCAGUGGGAAGAAUGAGUUUAGAGCCCUGAAGUGCUGUCUAUUUACCCGUUUGUCGAUGUCGCCAUGCUGCAGCUGGACGAAUCGGGCACUGAUUGCAGCAAUGUAGCUCUGCUGAUUGGAGAAGGCCACACGCCCCGCCCCCUUUGGGUACUUCAGCUCUGGAUCAGUGUCAAUACCUGCAUAACACACUCCACCAUACAAGCGGUCCAUGAUCAUCGCCAGCUCCACUGCAGAGAAACAUACCAUUAAAAAACACACAUGGAAGACAUAAGUUGAAAUUGUCACAUCAGUUAAAAGGAAAUUAAUACAUUAAAAAAUGUAAGACUAUUGAAUAGAAAAAUAUUACUACACACACACACUUUCUUUAAAAAUGUUUCAAUUUAAAUUUAUUUUUGAAAUUAAUUUUAGAAUCUUUGUGAUAAUUGGAAUCUCUUCACAUUGUGUACAUAUGCAGCAAUUUAUAACAAAUACAACAAAUUGUCAUGUGUUUAGCGUACCAGCUCUGAGUGGACGUGGCACUCCUCCUACAAAGAUGGUUUUGCGGGGGUCCAGAGGUUGAGAAC